GCAGCUCCUCAAGCAGUAGCAGCUCCUCAAGCAGUAGCAGCUCCUCAAGCAGUAGCAGCAUCUUUUUAAGCUCGUCGUCUUCCAGCAACAUCGACUGUAUAUGUUUUGACUGUACGACCAACUGCGCCGUUGUUGCUUAUCUACUAGCUGCUGAAGGU